rnacentral:rRNA from 1 species
UACGUAGGGUGCAAGCGUUGUCCGGAAUUAUUGGGCGUAAAGAGCUCGUAGGCGGUUUGUCGCGUCUGCUGUGAAAACCCGAGGCUCAACCUCGGGCCUGCAGUGGGUACGGGCAGACUAGAGUGAUGUAGGGGAGACUGGAAUUCCUGGUGUAGCGGUGAAAUGCGCAGAUAUCAGGAGGAACACCGAUGGCGAAGGCAGGUCUCUGGGCAUUAACUGACGCUGAGGCACGAAAGCGUGGGGAGCAAACAGG